AGCAGCAGCCGCGGGAAUACGUAGGUCCCGAGCGUUGUCCGGAUUUAUUGGGCGUAAAGCGAGCGCAGGCGGUUUGAUAAGUCUGAAGUUAAAGGCUGUGGCUCAACCAUAGUUCGCUUUGGAAACUGUCAAACUUGAGUGCAGAAGGGGAGAGUGGAAUUCCAUGUGUAGCGGUGAAAUGCGUAGAUAUAUGGAGGAACACCAGUGGCGAAGGCGACUCUCUGGUCUGUAACUGACGCUGAGGAGCGAAAGCGUGGGGAGCGAACAGGAUUAGAUACCCCUGUAGUCCCUGUCUCUUAUACC
rnacentral:rRNA from 1 species